AUAUGUUCCUCAGUUCCAUUAAGAUCAUAGAUGGUGUAAAUCCAAGCAGUGUUUCUCCUGAUGUUGUGUCCCACGUUGCCUUCAGUGUUCAGCUGAGAGCAGAGAAAUCAUUUCCAUAGAGAGGAGGCUUUGCAUGGUCAGCUGAUCCUCCAGUGAACUGAGAAGGUUUAUAGUCCUGUGAGUUCAACACUGCAGGACUCACAUCUGUCGGUCAGCACAGCAGAAAGCACAACCACCAUGACUCUCAUCACCAUCCUCAUCUGGACGCUGGCCUGCUGCUGUUUUACAGGAUGCAGCAGUCAGCUCACUGUGACUCAGCCUCCUGUGGUCAUAUCUUCUCCUGGAUCUACCGUCGCUCUGACCUGUCAAACCAGCCCAAAGGUUAAGACAUGGACAGAUGGAACCAAUAGAGUGCACUGGUAUCAGCAGAAAUCAGGACAAGUUCCCAAGUCAGUCAUGAAAAAUGCUAAAAAUCCUACAAGCGAGUUUUCCUCUCGAUUCUCUGGCCGAGGAGAUGGAGACAACUCUCAUUUGACCAUCAGUGGAAUUGAGGCAGGAGAUGCAGCCAUUUACUACUGUCAGAGAUACGAUGAAUUAAACAGUGAGUGGGUGACCACACAGUGAUUUGCCGUCGUACAAAAACCUCCCUCAGAGUGAGAGACUCUGACAUGGACCACUGAACACAGAGCUGACAGGAUCCUCACCAAGCACACACUAUAGAUUCACACUAAUAUACUGGCAUAGCAUGAAAUGCUAACACUGUCUAGGUAACCAGCAUCCCACAGGCAGCAGUAUCAACUGAAGCUAUGAAAAACAUUUAUAAACUUUGCACACACUGUCUACAUUCAUGCCAGCAUCAAUAUAAACAUGAUGGCAACUUCAACAUGUUUUAAAUUAAUCACGUUUCUGUAUUGUACACAUUGGAUAAUUCAUGAGAAUCAGUAGAGGUGACUCCUUGAAGUUUGUGUUUUUAAUUAAUCUCAUGUGAUGUGUUUUCACCUACCGUCCUUUACUGCUUGUGUUUGAUAUUUUCAAUCUAUUUAUUAAAAUGUAUUAUUAUCUACUGCUCUUAAUCAAUUUACCUGUUCUUCAUUCCUCUCAUGUGAUGUUGUGCUCUUAUCGUCCUUUCAUGCAACACAAUUGAAAUGAAACAUACAAAAUACAAUGAAAAUAAAACAAAACAAAUACAAUGUAGUUCAAAUUCAGUUCAAAUAAGAGACAUCCUGUUAUCGGAAAGUCGCUGGUUUGAUUCCCCUGGUCUGCGGGUCAAAGUGUCCUUGGAUAAGAUGCUGAAAUAUUUACUACCAAGUCGCUUUGGACAAAUGUAAAUAUACCGGGGAGUCCUCAGCUCCUCUGG